GACGAACGCUGGCGGCGUGCCUAAUACAUGCAAGUCGAACGCAGUGGGGACGGGUGAGUAACACGUGGGUAACCUCCCAUCAGAGGGGAUAACACUUGGAAACAGGUGCUAAACCGAUACUGAUGGAUGGACCCGCGGUGCAUUAGCUAGUUGGUGAGGUAACGGCUCACCAAGGCCACGAUGCAUAGGCGAACUGUGAGGGUGGGCGGCCACACGGGGGCUGAGACACGGGCCAGACUCCCACGGGGGGCAGCAGUAGGGGAUUCUCCGGAAAGGAAGAAAGUCUGACCGAGGAACGCCGCGGGAGUGAAGGAGGGUUUUGGGUCGGUAAACUCUGUUGUUAGAGAAGCGGUACUUAACCAGAAAGGGACGGCUAACUACGUGCCAGCCGCCGCGGUAAUAC
rnacentral:rRNA from 1 species